rnacentral:rRNA from 1 species
GCUGGGUAGCUAUGUACGGAAGGGAUAAGCGCUGAAAGCAUCUAAGCGUGAAGCCCCCCUCAAGAUGAGAUUUCCCAGUAUGUAAGACCCCUUGAAGACGACGAGGUAGAUAGGUUGGGGGUGGAAGUGCAGUAAUGCAUGGAGCUGACCAAUACUAAUCGGUCGAGGGCUUAUCCUAAAA